CGCAGAUUGUUCGGAUCGUGGGUCUCCGUGUACCCUUCUCCGAUCCCCGUUUGGUACUCAAUCCAUCGACCCAGGACUUCUGCACUGAAUGGGCCUAUCUGCACUACAAUGCACCAUCCACAAAGAAUGCCAGGUGGGUUUCUGGUACACUACGCCAUGGAAGCCCAUUUCCGGCCGAGCUGCCCUCCUCGUCGGCCGAGCUGGGAUGGUGCACUCUGCACCGGCCCAGCAUCAAAAGCCCUUCGCAACGGCCCGACCUCUUCUAUCAAUCGAAGCGACCUGGGUGGCGGCUCCUGCUUCGCUCUCGCAAUCUUCCCUCCUCCUCCUCCUCCUCCGAAGAGCGACGGCGGCGGCUGCGGGCGAACGGCGGAUCCACCGGCGGAAGGCGAACAGAGAAGCCACAAGGAGAAGGCAAGAAGGGUUUGGAAGAAGGCAAUCCGCGAGUCCACCCGCAGAAGGCUAGCCGCGAGUCCACCUGCAGAAGGCUAGCAGCGAACCCACUGGAAGAAGGCAACCAGAAGAACCCCCUUGGUUGAAUCCGUUCGGAGCUUGCUCUAGGGUUUGGAGACACGAGAAACAAGGCGUCUGAACUGUCGGGCCGCCCUACUGGUCAUUUGGGCAAUCUUCCCUCCUCCUCCUCCUCCUCCUCCUCCGAAGAGCGACGGCGGCGGCUGCGGGCGAACGGCGGAUCCACCGGCGGAAGGCGAACAGAGAAGCCACAGGGAGAAGGCAAGAAGGGUUUGGAAGAAGGCAAUCCGCGAGUCCACCCGCAGAAGGCUAGCCGCGAGUCCACCUGCAGAAGGCUAGCCGCGAACCCACUGGAAGAAGGCAACCAGAAGAACCCCCUUGGUUGAAUCCAUUCGGAGCCUACUCUAGGGUUUGGAGACACGAGAAACAAGGCGUCUGAACUGUCGGGCCGCCCUACUGGUCAUUUGGGUUUGAGUGCACUUUGCUAUCUCUGGUGUCUAAACUACUGGAUUUGAGUCUGUCCAAGGUGUUCUGAGUGAAUAUUGCAAUCUGGUUCUUACUAAUGGCCGCUGAAAUUCACCGAAGCCAGUCACUACUUGACAUGGAUGCAUUUAUCGCCCAUGAGCGUCAUGCACAUGCCCUUACAGAGGAGAGAGCCAAUAGUCCUCAGAACAGGCAGAGGUCCAUUCGUGAUGUCUUCUGCAUCAAUCUGUCUGCAGAUCCAUCUUCUGAACAACUAACUGCGUACUAUGCGGAAAGCAAUGCACGUUCACUCAAUAUCUCUUCAUUAAGAGUGCCUGGAAGGUUGAGAGAUGGCACUCUUAUCGAAGUACCAGUUACUGCGGCAACACCGAAGAAUAUUGAGGACACGAGUCAUCACAUCGUGGCUUUCCAUCGAGAGUCAGAUAGAGCUGUGGCAGAAGUUUUAGUGGAGGAUUAUAGUGGAUAUGUUGUUGCGUCCAGAUUUAUCCCGCCUAAAGUUAAGAAGGCAACAGUACGUUUUUGUCACAUUGGCGGGGCCAAGCUGGCCGCAAGGUUUCAGCCAGUGCAUCCAACCAAGUAUGGUCCAGCUUAUGCGCAUCUCGACAAGGUCAGGCUUGGAGUUGGCAUUGUCCCUCAGAUGGUUACUUUUCUGGAGAAGCUUAGCAAGAACCCUGAGCAGGCUGCUACCCAGUAUGGGUAUAUCAUGUUGGCGACCCUUUAUGUUUUGGUCUCUGAAGGCCGGAGGUUUUGGGUUAUCCAGGAAUGGAAUGUAGCGAAUAUCCAGGGUUUCAAACAGGAGCUUUAGCCCCGUCGCUUUUUCUUUCUUGUCAAAAAAUGUCUUGCUCUUAGCAAGUGUUGUUAUUUGGCUUAUCUGGUUAUCCUUGAGAGGACGCAGCUUGCUGUGAAUGCAACAGCUGCUAUAACUUCAAGUGAUGCAAAGGCUAAUGCCGUGGAGGAAUGGUGUCAAAGGCAAGAAGAUGUCGAUGCAACUGGACUGGUGUUCUAUCAACCUGGAGUCGACAUAGACCUCAACUUACUUGCAGGUGGUCAGUUGCUUCUCCUAAGGCACGACUGUGUCCUCUGCGACAAAGUUCUCUUGCGUUCCAACGGUUAUGAUGGCUACUGGGCGAAGGACAUCCAAAUCGAGGCGUCAGAAAUACCUCUGGAUCCUGAUAAGUGGGAGUUGCUCUGAUAGCACAUCCAAGUCUAGACCACCAACCUCUUUUUGUGUCGGUCUGAAAUUGUUUUGUCAUUCGUAUACUUCUUCUGCCCUGUUGAGGGUUCUAAUCAUUGUUGUUCAGCUCUGAUGUGUUCCUGUAGUGCCCUCGUUGUGGCUGCUAGCGUGUAUCUUCUUUCUUGACUAGUGUAUGUUCCUGUACUGGUCCUUACUGUAGUGCCCUUACUGAGGCUUUAUAUCCAUGUACUCGCUACAUCGUGAAUUUGUGAAUAUAUGAAGGCAGGAUGAAUAUCUGAGGUAGAA